ensembl:lncRNA
UGAUUUUUUCUGGAUCAAAUGCUCUAAAUAAAUGGACAUUUUGGAUAUAUAUGGACGGAAUUAAUUGAACAAAAGGACCAAUUGUGAUGUUAUGGGACAUAUUGGAGUGCCAACAAAAGAAGCCCCUCAAAGAUCACAUCUUUUGGACUGGCUGGAGGAAUGACCACCAAGGAGAAUGUGUGGAGAAUACUAACAAAACUCCUGACAAAUGCCCUGGCCAUGAAGAGGAACUGGAGAGGGGCCAAUGGGAUGCAGGCAUUCCAACCGCUCACCCUGUGCUAUCUGGCGAAACCACCAUAGAACCAAAGCUUCUGAUGGUGAAAUUGAGAAAUACAUCAAGAGGUGGAUGCAGCUGGCCUCUGACUGAGACGAAGGGAGAAAGAAGAGAACGCGACUGAGGGGAGAAGAAGACCAGAGCGGAGUAGAGGAGUGAUGUCACUACACCCUUCACUAUGCCCUACCCACUAAGCACAAUAACAAGGGAAUGCUGUUACCAUAACAAAACCAAUUUCGCUAAGAGGAAAUCUUGGUCCGUUUUAUUUUUACUAUGCAAUGGGUGCUAAAAUAAAUGCUUUUUAUCUUUUACAUGUUUUUUGUUGUUGAAGUAUGAUGUUUUUACACAGUUGCAACUUUAUUUGGUCCUUAUAAGCCUAUGCUGUCUUUGCCUACGAUGCAAUUGUCACCACUGAAAACCUUCAUGCAGAAUUUGGCUAGAUAUGCACUACAUAUACAAAAGUAUGUGGACAGCCAUUAAAAUUAGUAGAUCCCUGCCCCGCUCCCUGCCCCAAUGCAUAGUGCCAACUGUAAAGUUUGGUAGAGGAGGAAUAAUGGUCUGGGGCUGUUGUUCAUGGUCCGGGCUAGGCCGCUUAGUUCCAGUAAAGGGAAAUCAUAAUGUACAGCAUAGAAUUACAUUCUAGACAAUUAUGUGCUCCAACUUUGUGGCAACAGUUUGGGGAAGGGCCUUUCUUGUUUCAACAUGACAAUGCUCCUGUGCACAAAUCAAGGUCCAUAUAGAAAUGGUUUGCUGAGAUCGCUGCGGAAGAACUUGAAUGGCCUGCACAGAGCCAUGACCUCAACCCCAUCACUGUGGAAGAACUUGAUUGGCCUGCAUAGAGCCCUGACCUCAACUCCCACUAACACUCUUGUGGCUGAAUGGAAGCAAGUCCACACAGCAAUAUUGCAACUUCUAGUGGAAAGCCUUCCCAGAAGAGUGGAGGCAGUUAUGGCAGCAAAGGGGGGACCAACUCCAUAUUAUUGCCCAUGAUUUUGGAAUGAGAUGUUCGAUGAGCAGGUGUCCACAUUCUUUUGGUCAUGUAGUGUAUUUUCUUAUAUUCACUGACUGGACAUAUGACAUGUUGUGGAAUAGGACCGUCAUUGUGAGAUUUUUUUC